rnacentral:lncRNA from 1 species
CCAAUUGAUUCCAAGCUAACUGAAUAAGUCCAUAACAGACGGUACAUGCUACUUGCUACCUCAAGGUUCAUCAAUGGUUUCAGACUGCCUCAAACUGGCUUCAAACACCUCAAUCUCAUUCUGUUCACAUGCAGCAGUUUCAGGGAGAGCUCCUCCUGUCACUCCUUCUGCCAACUUUCGCAACACCACCAGCAACACACCACGCGAUUCAACUAGAUAGGUCAUCUUCGUAACCAGUGGAAUUGAGAAAGGCGGAUCGUCGAUGAUCUUUCGCAUUUCAGAAACCCAUGGGUUGGCCGUGCUGCUGUCCACACUAAUGUCGAUGGCACAUAGUAUACCCAGGAUAGUAAGGGCAUAGAGCUUGCCCUGAUGGAAUGCCAUGUCAACAAAGUAUGGAUAAUUGUUUUCCACGCUUACGGACCACCAGGAGUUGGUCCCUGGUUGGCACACUGCGAUCCGUUUGGUUUUCCUAAGCGAAACUAAUGCUGCAAUUAGGUGGGGUGAGCAAAACAUUAGUUUCCACCUCCUCGGCUCCUCCAAAAUCAACCGAUGAGACUUUCGCAGCCAUGCUAGGUUCGCCUCAUCAAUGGACUCAUCGCCCACGUAGCAGAUUCGGUCACGGGACAAAGCAGGAAGUGGCACCGUGGCAUUGGAGAAAGGAUCCCGCAGGAAGCAGCCAUCCUCGCCUGAGAACACUAACCAGUUGCCACAAGCGUCCGUGUUGCCACUCGGGGCACACGGCGGCGAACCGGAGGCGGUCGACGUGAGCAGGCAGCCGGCGGAGGAUCCGGCCGGCGAGAUCCAGCGGGAUGUCCGACCACGAGGGCCCCCUCGUCUUCGCCAUUGAUUGAGCCGAUCUUGCAAAUGCAACUAAGAAAGCAUCAGCUAGGAAACACCGUGCAUCAAGAAACCGGAGGAAAAACGCGAGCACAUGGCCGGCGCGAGUGCGUGCGGACGCACAGGCAAUGCGUCGAACACCUUGCGUGCGCGACCCACGGCGAGGUCAAGAUGAACAAAGGGGGGCAGGAGCGGCGAGUGCAGGGCAAGGAAUGGAGGCGGAUUACCUGAAAUCGGCGAUUCGCGGCGGCGGAUUCGUGUUCUUGCUGCUGCUGUUCGGGCGGAGGUGAGGCGGGGGUGGGGGCGGCGGGCGGCCGCCGGCCGAGCUGGGGUAGGCAGUUUUAGGAAGAGAUUGGAGAGUGGAGUGCUUUCGAGUUGUAUUUCUUUUAGGUGGAGUUGUAUGGAGUGUAUGGAGUGUUACAUUGUACCGCCAUACAAAAUUUCAAGUGCGAAUAAUUCUUUAAAAAACAAAUUAAAUGUGAUUUUUUUUGCUAUAGUGGUAUUGCACACGAAUUUUGUGAUCUUUUGAUCUUCGUAGAUGGAAUCAGAUUUGAAAUUGAAAUUUUGAUUGGAUUCGGAUCAUAACCUCAUAUACCAUUCAUGAAUUUCCAAUGUUUCUUUGAACUUCUAAGCAGUGUUUCUACUGAAAUUUCACCAUCACUAGACAUGGUUCGGACAGGUAGAGAGGUCGAAUAAACAGACGAAACAAGCAGCCUUGAAUUCGUCUUUUCAAUUUCCCCCCUCCAGAGAUGGUACUAUAGGGUCUGAAACUUGGUAGUGUUCUCUGGGGAUGCCUGCUCCCGUGGCCAUGAAAUUUCUAGGUUUUUUGGGCAUCUGUUCCGGCGACGAAUGGGGAUUCUUCCAUGUUCCGUCCAUGCUGUUUGGUCAGUGAUCUGAGCGCAGCCUGAUGCUUUGGUGGUUCAACAACUGCUGCUCGCACUCUUGUGAACUCAGGAGAAGUCAAAGCCAGCAUGCCGGCCGACUUUUGCUCUGCAUGCAUUUCUGUUCUCCUUGUUCCGGUCAUGGUGCAAAAUGAACUGCAGAGAAGGCAAGGCACAUGUCCAACUGCCAGUGAACUGGCUGCUAUCCUGCAGCUCAACCACAACCACAACCACGACCACGGCCGAUAUUGCCACAUAUCUGAAUGUGUACAUUUCACAUUGCCGUCUUUCAGUUUCAGAGAGCUAGGAACAGAUCUGUGGGUUUAUACUUCUUUGGCACCCUGCAGAAACAAACCAACCAUCACAUGUCCGCAUUUUAGAUGGGCGGGGGGGGGGGGGGGGGGGACGAAAAAUAGUUGGCUAUGACAAAAUUUAGAGAACACAGAUCAUUCUGUGACUUGGACUACAAGCGAGGUCAGUUUUUGUAUUUCCAUCUGCUCUUGAUUUAAUGCCGGCCCUUGAGAGUUUCCGAGUUACACGUUGGAUCUACAUGGUUGUAAUCUUUCACAAAGUUACAGCCUUAAGCAUCUUGGGAAUUUAUUUCACUUGAGGUACCUGGGACUACGUGGCACAAGUAUUGCUCAACUCCCCGAGAAAAUAGGAAACCUCUCAUUUCUACAAACUUUGGACGUAAAGCGUAACCAAAUUUCUAGCUUGCCACCGACUGUUGUUCAGCUAAGAAACUUGAUGUUCCUAUACACCGACUGGUCUACAAGACUGCCAAGCAGGAUUGGAAACAUGGCAUGCCUUGAAUAUCUGCUAUUACGCAUUGAUGACUCCACCAUGGAUUCCAUAGAAGAGAUGGGCCAGCUACUGGAGUACCUAAGCAAGCUGCAAAAGAUUAGGAAUCUAUACAUUGAGGUCAUCGAUGGUCGACGCAGCAUUGGUGGAUUGGAUGCCUGGGUUGCCCCACAACAUCUUUGUAGACUGAGUACAGUACGGAGCUGCUGGUUCUCAGCACUUCCAGCUUGGAUGAAUAGAUCAGUCCUUCCGAACCUCUCCUUUCUAUGGAUCGCCGUACGUGAGGGAGCUGCAGCUAAAGGAUCUCGAGAUCCUCGGGAGGUUGCCAGCUCUUCGCUCUCUAGAACUGGAUGUGGACCAUGUGAACCUUGGAAUACAUGCAAUGGGAGAUUCGAUGUUGGUGCUGGCUUGUUCCCGUGCCUUGUACACUGCAAGUUUUGGGGAUUUGUAUAGCCUGUCGUAUUUCGGCAAGGAGCUAUGCCGAGGCUCAGAGAGCUUUAUCUCGAGCUGUUCUUUAUGUGGGAAGCAAAAGAAACCACCAGCAGCGAUGGCGGUCUCGAUGUGGACAUAAGGAACCUACCAUUGCUGCAGGAUGUGUUCAUCGAGUUGCGAUCUGAAGUGGCCAGCACUGAGGAGGUGGAACAAGUAAAGGCUACACUGAGGCGUGUGCAGCUGAAUUUCAUCCCAAUCAUCCCAGCCUUACUAUACUCUGAUGAAGUCGAUAAGCAGGUGAAGAUGCAGAGUACAUCCAGUGCUCAAUUGCCACAUGCAGCUGAACUACAUCUUGGUGAACCUUGACACUAAAAGGUGAGGCUGCUGUGGCUUCAGUUGUUUUAUCAUCCUUCUUGUUUCCCCCUUUCCCAUGUUUCCCUGAAAUUCUUUGUUUCUGUCUCAGAUUCAGAUUGAUAAUGGAUAUGAGAAAAUAUUUUUCGUUAUCGCCAAUCGCCAACAUUGCAAGAAUUAUGAUGCUCGCCGAUAGACAGUUCAAGCAAAACUGACCCUGGUUGAUGAAUUCUGCACAGACAAACAAAUCUAGGUGUGCAUUUUGUCAGUAUGUUUUUUUUCGCUUUUGCCAAUCCAAAUGCCAUGGGUCAGGAAAUAUGGGUUGAGAAAAAGGUUCAGCAUUGUGAUUGUAGCACUAGGACAACACUCUGGCCCCACCUCCCACUUUAAAAGUACUACUUCUUCUGUCCCAAAUAAUAGGUCGUUUGAUUUAUUAGAUUCAUAGAUCUUGUUAUGCACUUAGAUUGCAUAAUAAUAUCUAUGCAUCUACAAAAGCCAAAACGACAUAUAAUUUGGGAUGGAGGGAGUAUGACUAUAAAGUGCAUAACAGUUAAAUGAUCCCAAUAAUUAACUGUUAUGGUCACUUAGCAAACUUACAGUUAAAUGAUCCAAAUAAUUAAAUCAACACUACCAUCUUAUUUUACUUCCAGAAAUUUAGAAAUCUCAUCGGAAAUAUCUCACUACAAGAGACGUCAGCUAGCCUAGUUACUUCCACAUGGCUCACGAAUAUUUCAACUCAAAACAUCACAAAAAGGAAAUACAAGAACCUGCCAAGUCAAUACUGCCAACAAAGUAUUCAAGAUAGCAUCAUUAAGAUCAAACAAGAUAUUCAAGAUAGCAAGAUUAAGAUCAAACAAGCAAGCUUGCAAUUAACCUCUCCCCAACUAGAGACACCACGCCCAAUUGAUUCCAAGCUAACUGAAUAAGUCCAUAACAGACGGUACAUGCUACUUGCUACCUCAAGGUUCAUCAAUGGUUUCAGACUGCCUCAAACUGGCUUCAAACACCUCAAUCUCAUUCUGUUCACAUGCAGCAGUUUCAGGGAGAGCUCCUCCUGUCACUCCUUCUGCCAACUUUCGCAACACCACCAGCAACACACCACGCGAUUCAACUAGAUAGGUCAUCUUCGUAACCAGUGGAAUUGAGAAAGGCGGAUCGUCGAUGAUCUUUCGCAUUUCAGAAACCCAUGGGUUGGCCGUGCUGCUGUCCACACUAAUGUCGAUGGCACAUAGUAUACCCAGGAUAGUAAGGGCAUAGAGCUUGCCCUGAUGGAAUGCCAUGUCAACAAAGUAUGGAUAAUUGUUUUCCACGCUUACGGACCACCAGGAGUUGGUCCCUGGUUGGCACACUGCGAUCCGUUUGGUUUUCCUAAGCGAAACUAAUGCUGCAAUUAGGUGGGGUGAGCAAAACAUUAGUUUCCACCUCCUCGGCUCCUCCAAAAUCAACCGAUGAGACUUUCGCAGCCAUGCUAGGUUCGCCUCAUCAAUGGACUCAUCGCCCACGUAGCAGAUUCGGUCACGGGACAAAGCAGGAAGUGGCACCGUGGCAUUGGAGAAAGGAUCCCGCAGGAAGCAGCCAUCCUCGCCUGAGAACACUAACCAGUUGCCACAAGCGUCCGUGUUGCCACUCGGGGCACACGGCGGCGAACCGGAGGCGGUCGACGUGAGCAGGCAGCCGGCGGAGGAUCCGGCCGGCGAGAUCCAGCGGGAUGUCCGACCACGAGGGCCCCCUCGUCUUCGCCAUUGAUUGAGCCGAUCUUGCAAAUGCAACUAAGAAAGCAUCAGCUAGGAAACACCGUGCAUCAAGAAACCGGAGGAAAAACGCGAGCACAUGGCCGGCGCGAGUGCGUGCGGACGCACAGGCAAUGCGUCGAACACCUUGCGUGCGCGACCCACGGCGAGGUCAAGAUGAACAAAGGGGGGCAGGAGCGGCGAGUGCAGGGCAAGGAAUGGAGGCGGAUUACCUGAAAUCGGCGAUUCGCGGCGGCGGAUUCGUGUUCUUGCUGCUGCUGUUCGGGCGGAGGUGAGGCGGGGGUGGGGGCGGCGGGCGGCCGCCGGCCGAGCUGGGGUAGGCAGUUUUAGGAAGAGAUUGGAGAGUGGAGUGCUUUCGAGUUGUAUUUCUUUUAGGUGGAGUUGUAUGGAGUGUAUGGAGUGUUACAUUGUACCGCCAUACAAAAUUUCAAGUGCGAAUAAUUCUUUAAAAAACAAAUUAAAUGUGAUUUUUUUUGCUAUAGUGGUAUUGCACACGAAUUUUGUGAUCUUUUGAUCUUCGUAGAUGGAAUCAGAUUUGAAAUUGAAAUUUUGAUUGGAUUCGGAUCAUAACCUCAUAUACCAUUCAUGAAUUUCCAAUGUUUCUUUGAACUUCUAAGCAGUGUUUCUACUGAAAUUUCACCAUCACUAGACAUGGUUCGGACAGGUAGAGAGGUCGAAUAAACAGACGAAACAAGCAGCCUUGAAUUCGUCUUUUCAAUUUCCCCCCUCCAGAGAUGGUACUAUAGGGUCUGAAACUUGGUAGUGUUCUCUGGGGAUGCCUGCUCCCGUGGCCAUGAAAUUUCUAGGUUUUUUGGGCAUCUGUUCCGGCGACGAAUGGGGAUUCUUCCAUGUUCCGUCCAUGCUGUUUGGUCAGUGAUCUGAGCGCAGCCUGAUGCUUUGGUGGUUCAACAACUGCUGCUCGCACUCUUGUGAACUCAGGAGAAGUCAAAGCCAGCAUGCCGGCCGACUUUUGCUCUGCAUGCAUUUCUGUUCUCCUUGUUCCGGUCAUGGUGCAAAAUGAACUGCAGAGAAGGCAAGGCACAUGUCCAACUGCCAGUGAACUGGCUGCUAUCCUGCAGCUCAACCACAACCACAACCACGACCACGGCCGAUAUUGCCACAUAUCUGAAUGUGUACAUUUCACAUUGCCGUCUUUCAGUUUCAGAGAGCUAGGAACAGAUCUGUGGGUUUAUACUUCUUUGGCACCCUGCAGAAACAAACCAACCAUCACAUGUCCGCAUUUUAGAUGGGCGGGGGGGGGGGGGGGGGGACGAAAAAUAGUUGGCUAUGACAAAAUUUAGAGAACACAGAUCAUUCUGUGACUUGGACUACAAGCGAGGUCAGUUUUUGUAUUUCCAUCUGCUCUUGAUUUAAUGCCGGCCCUUGAGAGUUUCCGAGUUACACGUUGGAUCUACAUGGUUGUAAUCUUUCACAAAGUUACAGCCUUAAGCAUCUUGGGAAUUUAUUUCACUUGAGGUACCUGGGACUACGUGGCACAAGUAUUGCUCAACUCCCCGAGAAAAUAGGAAACCUCUCAUUUCUACAAACUUUGGACGUAAAGCGUAACCAAAUUUCUAGCUUGCCACCGACUGUUGUUCAGCUAAGAAACUUGAUGUUCCUAUACACCGACUGGUCUACAAGACUGCCAAGCAGGAUUGGAAACAUGGCAUGCCUUGAAUAUCUGCUAUUACGCAUUGAUGACUCCACCAUGGAUUCCAUAGAAGAGAUGGGCCAGCUACUGGAGUACCUAAGCAAGCUGCAAAAGAUUAGGAAUCUAUACAUUGAGGUCAUCGAUGGUCGACGCAGCAUUGGUGGAUUGGAUGCCUGGGUUGCCCCACAACAUCUUUGUAGACUGAGUACAGUACGGAGCUGCUGGUUCUCAGCACUUCCAGCUUGGAUGAAUAGAUCAGUCCUUCCGAACCUCUCCUUUCUAUGGAUCGCCGUACGUGAGGGAGCUGCAGCUAAAGGAUCUCGAGAUCCUCGGGAGGUUGCCAGCUCUUCGCUCUCUAGAACUGGAUGUGGACCAUGUGAACCUUGGAAUACAUGCAAUGGGAGAUUCGAUGUUGGUGCUGGCUUGUUCCCGUGCCUUGUACACUGCAAGUUUUGGGGAUUUGUAUAGCCUGUCGUAUUUCGGCAAGGAGCUAUGCCGAGGCUCAGAGAGCUUUAUCUCGAGCUGUUCUUUAUGUGGGAAGCAAAAGAAACCACCAGCAGCGAUGGCGGUCUCGAUGUGGACAUAAGGAACCUACCAUUGCUGCAGGAUGUGUUCAUCGAGUUGCGAUCUGAAGUGGCCAGCACUGAGGAGGUGGAACAAGUAAAGGCUACACUGAGGCGUGUGCAGCUGAAUUUCAUCCCAAUCAUCCCAGCCUUACUAUACUCUGAUGAAGUCGAUAAGCAGGUGAAGAUGCAGAGUACAUCCAGUGCUCAAUUGCCACAUGCAGCUGAACUACAUCUUGGUGAACCUUGACACUAAAAGGUGAGGCUGCUGUGGCUUCAGUUGUUUUAUCAUCCUUCUUGUUUCCCCCUUUCCCAUGUUUCCCUGAAAUUCUUUGUUUCUGUCUCAGAUUCAGAUUGAUAAUGGAUAUGAGAAAAUAUUUUUCGUUAUCGCCAAUCGCCAACAUUGCAAGAAUUAUGAUGCUCGCCGAUAGACAGUUCAAGCAAAACUGACCCUGGUUGAUGAAUUCUGCACAGACAAACAAAUCUAGGUGUGCAUUUUGUCAGUAUGUUUUUUUUCGCUUUUGCCAAUCCAAAUGCCAUGGGUCAGGAAAUAUGGGUUGAGAAAAAGGUUCAGCAUUGUGAUUGUAGCACUAGGACAACACUCUGGCCCCACCUCCCACUUUAAAAGUACUACUUCUUCUGUCCCAAAUAAUAGGUCGUUUGAUUUAUUAGAUUCAUAGAUCUUGUUAUGCACUUAGAUUGCAUAAUAAUAUCUAUGCAUCUACAAAAGCCAAAACGACAUAUAAUUUGGGAUGGAGGGAGUAUGACUAUAAAGUGCAUAACAGUUAAAUGAUCCCAAUAAUUAACUGUUAUGGUCACUUAGCAAACUUACAGUUAAAUGAUCCAAAUAAUUAAAUCAACACUACCAUCUUAUUUUACUUCCAGAAAUUUAGAAAUCUCAUCGGAAAUAUCUCACUACAAGAGACGUCAGCUAGCCUAGUUACUUCCACAUGGCUCACGAAUAUUUCAACUCAAAACAUCACAAAAAGGAAAUACAAGAACCUGCCAAGUCAAUACUGCCAACAAAGUAUUCAAGAUAGCAUCAUUAAGAUCAAACAAGAUAUUCAAGAUAGCAAGAUUAAGAUCAAACAAGCAAGCUUGCAAUUAACCUCUCCCCAACUAGAGACACCACGCCCAAUUGAUUCCAAGCUAACUGAAUAAGUCCAUAACAGACGGUACAUGCUACUUGCUACCUCAAGGUUCAUCAAUGGUUUCAGACUGCCUCAAACUGGCUUCAAACACCUCAAUCUCAUUCUGUUCACAUGCAGCAGUUUCAGGGAGAGCUCCUCCUGUCACUCCUUCUGCCAACUUUCGCAACACCACCAGCAACACACCACGCGAUUCAACUAGAUAGGUCAUCUUCGUAACCAGUGGAAUUGAGAAAGGCGGAUCGUCGAUGAUCUUUCGCAUUUCAGAAACCCAUGGGUUGGCCGUGCUGCUGUCCAC